GUAUUGAUUGCGUGUGACCGCAAAAUAAAUAAAUAAAAAGAACAUUCUACACUGUAUCAAGUUUUAUGUGAAAACGCAAGCCCUCCUGCAAAGGGGGGCCCACGCGGUGAUGCACAAAAGGGGUGAGAUGGAUUGUGUGAGAGUGCUCGGGCGUGCACAACCUUUAAAAGGUCAGCGACAGCCCUUGCACCUCGGUUAUACAAUAAUGAUCCUUCCGCAGGUUCACCUACGGAAA
rnacentral:misc_RNA from 1 species